GUGUCUUCAGCAGUUGCUUCAGAGAAUAAGAGCCAGUUGUGGUCAGUGUGUGAUAUAUUUGUGUAUGUUUGUGAGUGUGUGUGUGUGUGUGUGUGUAAUAUAAUGAGAACAGUUGCUCAGAGUUCAGUUGGGUCUGGGCAGUACAGAAUGAUGCAGUCCGGCUCUGUGCUGCUGUGUGCUGUGUUUAUAACCUGCUUCUGUUACUGCGACUCCAGUUUAGACGUUUCUGUGACCCAGACUCCAGUUGAACUCACAGUGGAGGAAGGACAGAGUGUGGAUAUCUCCUGUUGCUGGAAUAAAAUCAUCCCUAAUAUUAAAGUGAGGUGGAUUAAACCCAAAGAGACUAAUAAAGACGUUCCUACAGAAAUCCUUAAUACUAACUGCUCAGUUUUCUCUAUAAGAAACGCCUGCAGUAAUGAUACAGGACUGUACAUCUGUGAAGUUCUACAAGACAUUCCUGUACUGGUUACUGUAAAAGGAAAAGGGACGACUGUGAGACUCCUGGAAAAAAAGACAAUGCAAAUGUCACGGAAUGACCCAGGCAGGGUGACGAGGAAAGCGGACACAAGUG
rnacentral:lncRNA from 1 species